UACGAAGGGGGCUAGCGUUGUCCGGAAUUAUUGGGCGUAAAGAGCUUGUAGGUGGUUUGUCGCGUCUGCCGUGAAAAUUCGAGGCUCAACCUCGAACUUGCGGUGGGUACGGGCAGACUAGAGUGUGGUAGGGGAGACUGGAAUUCCUGGUGUAGCGGUGAAAUGCGCAGAUAUCAGGAGGAACACCGAUGGCGAAGGCAGGUCUCUGGGCCACUACUGACGCUGAGAAGCGAAAGCAUGGGGAGCGAACAGG
rnacentral:rRNA from 1 species